CACGAACACGCCAACGCGAAGACUGACUGAACAAACACAGGAGGCUGUAUAAAGUCACGUCAACUCGUAUGUAGAAAACCCUGAUCGCUAUCGUCUCUGAUUAAUCUAGCUCCGUUUGAUCUUUCCAUGCCCCCUGGCUUCAAUGUAAAUAAUAGCUUUGAGAAGUUGUGAUGACAGUUAUUGAUGAUUUACAAGCCUCAUUUCUCGUCUCGAUGAUAUUGAGAAAGUUCAGACUUAUUUAUUUGGCAACUACGAAAAAGUGUUGGACCUGUUUGCCUGUCUCAUAGUUUGGCGCCUUUGGUAGCAGUCUUGUUGGAG